AGGGCGCUGUUAUCAUCAGGACACCGCUGCAGAGACACAACACACAGCAUGCAGUUGGGAUCUCCUGCCAUGCCUGUGACUAGCUGCUUCGUCAUCUCUGUGCCACACCCUGCUGAGGAAAAGGACAACCACCUGACCUUGAUGCUCACAUCAGCUCAACCAUCACUUCUUUCCUCUGCUGCCUAUUACUGAAAGACCCAUGCGGAAAGAGGAGAAGAGAGGAAAAUCUGAAAGAUAGGAGUGGCACGGAGAGGAAGGGAUGUGGCGGCGAUGGUGUCGCUGUUGCUAGAACAGUCUUCCCACCUUGUGGUAGCACAGUGAACUGUAGCUGCAUCAAUGCGUGAGCAAUAGGAGGAGAGAGA